UACCAGCUCUCCGAGUGGUAGGGAUGAUUAUUGGGCUUAAAGCGUCCGUAGCCGGCUUAGCAAGUCUCCUGUUAAAUUCAGCGACCUAAUCGUUGAGCCGCGGGAGAUACUACUAGGCUAGGAGGCGGGAGAGGUCAACGGUACUUCCGGGGUAGGGGUGAAAUCCUAUAAUCCCGGGAGGACCACCAGUGGCGAAGGCUGUUGACUAGAACGCGCUCGACGGUGAGGGACGAGAGCUGGGGGAGCGAACCGGAUUAGAUACCCGGGUAGUCCCAGCUGUAAACGAUGCGAGCUAGGUGUUGGGGUGGCUACGUGCCACUUCAGUGCCGCAGGGAAGCCAUUAAGCUCGCCGCCUGGGGAGUACGGCCGCAAGGCUGAAACUUAAAGGAAUUGGCGGGAGCACCACAAGGCGUGAAGCUUGCGGUUC
rnacentral:rRNA from 1 species